rnacentral:rRNA from 1 species
AUCGUGAUAAGGGAACCCCGAGUGCCCGUAAAUUCGGGCUGUCCGCCAGUGUAAAUAACUGGUGAAGAAAGGGCCGGGCAAGACCGGUGCCAGCCGCCGCGGUAAUACCGGCGGCUCGAGUGGUGGCCACUAUUACUGGGCUUAAAGCGUCCGUAGCUGGAUUGUUAAGUCUCUUGGGAAAUCCACCGGCUCAACCGAUGGGCGUUCAGGAGAAACUGGCAAUCUAGGGACCGGGAGAGGUGAGAGGUACUCCAGGGGUAGGAGUGAAAUCCUGUAAUCCUUGGGGGACCACCUGUGGCGAAGGCGUCUCACUAGAACGGCUCCGACAGUGAGGGACGAAAGCUGGGGGAGCAAACCGGAUUAGAUACCCGGGUAGUCCCAGCUGUAAACGAUGCGCGUUAGGUGUAUCGGUGACCACGAGUCAUCGAGGUGCCGAAGGGAAACCGUGAAACGUGC